rnacentral:lncRNA from 1 species
GGGGAGAUGGUCAUGGGACCAUAUGAGUGGGGCUGGAGGAGCUACGGGGUAGGACCUGACCUUUCCCAGGCAGCACAGUCCAUCCCUGGGAGGAGAUGGGGAGCCUGUCAGUCCUCCCAGGAUAUUUCCAGAGUGUAAGAUGGAAUGCUAAUGUGUAUUUCAAUGCCCAAAUGGAUAUCAGUGAAGUUGAGGUUUCCAUGGGUGGGCAAAGUGCCAUCCACACUGAAGGGAACCAACAGAGCUUUCUGAGGACAGACCAUGAAGAUGACAGUCUCCCAUAUGGACACCAGGACCGUGGGGACCUCUCCGUGCCUGUCUUGAGACCAAGGGCUCAGAUUCGUGAAUCCCCCAGUGACACUGUGAACAAUUGUAGAGAGUUAGCCCGUCUUUGACCUGCUCAGUCAUUCAUUGAGCCCUUUUCUCUGCUCCUGUAGCCUCGAAGGAUGGGGCCACCUUGCCCCUGUUCAAACCCUAAAGCCUGGUCCUAUUCAGCUCUGGGUAUUGACAUUUCCACAGCUUCCCCCACCAGAUCAAGGCUUUCUGUUUCCCAUCGCCCUUGGUGCUCUUUUUCUCAGAUUCCUGUCUCCUCCCUUUCUCUCUCUGUACCUCCAUCCCUCCCUUAGCCUUUUUCAUCUCCCUGUGAAUUGCUUUCUUUCCCUUUGAAGUCCUAGACUCCUAGCCCUUCUCCUUAGUUCAGAUUAGCAUAAAUGCCUCAUUCUGCCCAUCUGUCCUUGGAAUCUCACGUUUAUGCAAAUCCCCCAUAUGUACAUUAGUAAAUUUGAUUUUUUCCCUGAUAAUCUGUCUCCUGUCAAUUUAAUUCUUAGGCCACGUAUAAGAAUCUUGAAGCGUAUAGAAAAUUUUUUCCUCCCCACCAAUGUAUUUCGGAGAAGGGGUUCUGUCAUGUGAAAUAUUUAUGAUUAGCAAAAUGAGUGGGUAGUUCUUACAAGAAUGAGAAGACCAGCUACAUGAGCUAUGUGUGUCGCUGGCAGGAUGUGUGAGGGCUGAGGUGGGGACAGCCAGGGCAGCCACUCUCCCCAGGCUCACAGGGCGGGGCAUGACCUUGAGAUUGCAAAUGAAGCUGGUAGCUGGCAAGCUUUCCCUAAUGUUCCCACACAGACUUCCCAUAUCUCUGAAAGGCCACCCUGCACUGGUUCCAGGAGCUCCCAGAAGACCAGGGGCUCUGCCCUGCCUUGUGCUCUCACUGAAGAUGAGAGACAAGCAGGGGAUUCUCCCAGCUCGCUGUUGUUGGUUCAGAAAGCUCCCCUAAAACCUCUUUUCCUUGUAUACAAAAAUCAACUUCAGGACAAAAACCAUUUUGUGGCAGGAAUUCCUCUAGCUGACCUCCUCAACUCUUUUUGUGUUCCCUU